rnacentral:rRNA from 1 species
AGUGAACGCUGGCGGUAGGCCUAACACAUGCAAGUCGAACGGCAGCACAGUAAGAGCUUGCUCUUACGGGUGGCGAGUGGCGGACGGGUGAGGAAUACAUCGGAAUCUACUUUUUCGUGGGGGAUAACGUAGGGAAAGUUACGCUAAUACAGCAUACGACCUACGGGUGAAGGCAGGGGAUCUUCGGACCUUGCGCGGUUGAAUGAGCCGAUGUCGUAUUAGCUAGUUGGCGGGUUAAAGGCCCACCAAGGCGACGAUUCGUAGCUGGUCUGAGAGGAGGGUCAGCCACACUGGAACUGAGACACGGUCAAGACUCCUACGGGAGGCAGCAGUGGGGAAUAUUGGACAAUGGGCGCAAGCCUGAUCCAGCCAUACCGCGUGGGUGAAGAAGGCCUUCGGGUCGUAAAGCCCUCUUGUUGGGAAAGAACCGCAGCAGGUUAAUACCCCGCUGUUCUGACGGUACCCAAAGAAUAAGCACCGGCUAACUUCGUG